rnacentral:tRNA from 1 species
GGCCCCGUAGCUCAGUUGGCUAAAGCGUUGACUGUUCUAAAUACUGCCUAGUUGCUGGCGUGGGCUCGAAACCCACCGAGGCCA